GUAUCCCUCGGGGAUGGAGUUCCCCAUUAAGCGCCAAUCCGGCUGAUGACUCCUGCAACGGG
rnacentral:ncRNA from 1 species